GGAAUAUUUCAUUUCGAAAGUUUGGUAUUUUUCCAAAGUUUUGAAAUUAGUAAUUUUUUCUGCAUAAUUACAUUUCGAAAGUUUCCAAUUUUACAAAACAUUCGAAAGUUGGGGUGGAAAACUGAAAUGGAAAUUUUUUCCAUAAUUUUAUACAAAUUAAAUAAGGGUAAAAUAAUCUUUAAAAAAAUUGGAGGGGUGGGAGGUAAAAAUG
rnacentral:lncRNA from 1 species